rnacentral:rRNA from 1 species
ACAGCAGUCGCCGCGGUAAUACGUAGGACCCGAGCGUUGUCCGGAUUUAUUGGGCGUAAAGCGAGCGCAGGCGGUUAGAUAAGUCUGAAGUUAAAGGCUGUGGCUUAACCAUAGUACGCUUUGGAAACUGUUUAACUUGAGUGCAAGAGGGGAGAGUGGGAUUCCAUGUGUAGCGGUGAAAUGCGUAGAUAUAUGGAGGAACACCGGUGGCGAAAGCGGCUCUCUGGUCUGUAACUGACGCUGAGGCUCGAAAGCGUGGGGAGCGAACAGGAUUAGAUACCCGCGUAGUCCCUGUCUCUUAUACA